rnacentral:tRNA from 1 species
GCGGGUGUAGUAUAAUGGCUAUCACACCACCUUGCCAAGGUGGAGACGAGGGUUCGAUUCCCUUCACCCGCU